UCUUUCUUUGUCUGUGAUGUAUUCAAGUGGACUGAUUUAUUUGAUGUUAUAAAAUUAAUUUCGUCACUACCACUGAGGCAGAGUUAAA